rnacentral:rRNA from 1 species
AUCGGAACGUGCCCAGUCGUGGGGGAUAACGUAGUGAAAAUUACGCUAAUACCGCAUACGAUCUAUGGAUGAAAGCGGGGGAUCGCAAGACCUCGCGCGAUUGGAGCGGCCGAUAUCAGAUUAGGUAGUUGGUGAGGUAAAGGCUCACCAAGCCGACGAUCUGUAGCUGGUCUGAGAGGACGACCAGCCACACUGGAACUGAGACACGGUCCAGACUCCUACGGGAGGCAGCAGUGGGGAAUUUUGGACAAUGGACGCAAGUCUGAUCCAGCCAUUCCGCGUGCAGGACGAAGGCCUUCGGGUUGUAAACUGCUUUUGUACAGAACGAAAAGGUCUCUAUUAAUACUAGGGGCUCAUGACGGUACUGUAAGAAUAAGCACCGGCUAACUACGUGCCAGCAGCCGCGGUAAUACGUAGGGUGCAAGCGUUAAUCGGAAUUACUGGGCGUAAAGCGUGCGCAGGCGGUUAUAUAAGACAGAUGUGAAAUCCCCGGGCUCAACCUGGGAACUGCAUUUGUGACUGUAUAGCUGGAGUGCGGCAGAGGGGGAUGGAAUUCCGCGUGUAGCAGUGAAAUGCGUAGAUAUGCGGAGGAACACCGAUGGCGAAGGCAAUCCCCUGGGCCUGCACUGACGCUCAUGCACGAAAGCGUGGGGAGCAAACAGGAUUAGAUACCCUGGUAGUCCACGCCCUAAACGAUGUCAACUGGUUGUUGGGUCUUCA